UACGGAGGGUGCAAGCGUUGUCCGGAAUCACUGGGCGUAAAGGGCGCGUAGGCGGCUCAUGAAGGCUGUGGUGAAAGUCCGGGGCUCAACCUCGGAUCGGCCGUGGCGACUCGUGGGCUGGAGCGCUGUAGAGGCGGGUGGAAUUCCGGGUGUAGCGGUGGAAUGCGUAGAGAUCCGGAAGAACACCAGUGGCGAAGGCGGCCACUGGGCC
rnacentral:rRNA from 1 species